GAAAUCCAUAAGGAUGGACGUCCAUCUCAUUUAUGUGGUCCUAGAGUCUUGAACAGUACCUAGCACUUAGUGGGGAUUUGAUUCGCAUUUGUUGACUGCGUUUUAAGUGAGCAAAAAUGCUCCCUGAAGGUUUGCUUCAGAGCAGAGUGGUUACACCAAUUCCUGUCCGGGAAUUGUCCUGUGCUCCAGCCAUGGCUAGGACUUAUGUGGAGGGAGUCUCCCGGAGCCUUGUGAAGCCCUUCUCGCUGUCCCGGGCUUUUGUUGGCAGCUUCCUCCUUUGAGGAGGUGCCUGCUGCAUCUGUCACUGCAGCCCUGUCUCUGGAGUGGGCGGAGGCAGCCUGGGGAACCCAUUUAUCUCCUGCAGGCUGGAAGUGUGCUAUGAGGUUCCUGGCAGAGCAAGACUCCAUCUCCCCAGCCUCCUCCAUCCGUCUCCCAGGGUGCCUUUGUUUUGAAUCAUUUUUGAUUUCAAUUUAAGAAGAGAAAGAAGAGGCUGAGAUGAAGGAAGGAGGGACUCCAGCAGCUCUGUCACUGUGCUGUCGUCCUCCACGGAGACCACUUUCACCGGGACGGCCACCGUCUUCCCCGUGAGGAUGGCUGUGUUCAGGAUUUCUGCCUCCUGGAAGACCAAACACACCCUUCCAUGACAUCCCCUCCUGAGACGGCCCAGUCCCUGGGAUUUACAGAUGGCACAGACAGCUUUUGUCACUUGCCCAGGGUCACCCAGCUAGAAAUUAAUGAAGGCAGGAUUUGAACCUGGGAAGUCCAGCUCCCGAGUCCACGCAUCAGCUAACUCAAAUAGCUCUAAACGUGGACAUGACGACGGUAGCUUAAGCCGCCGAAGGAUGGCCAGAGGGGCCUGGUGUUGUGAAAGAAGCUUGAUGAGCAGCACUGCACCACCAGUGCAAGGCACACCUAUGCCUCGGUGGUGUUUCCCAGACAUCGAGCAUCUCUGGAUCUCAUGACACCCUGCAUCUCUCUCUCCAGUGCACCCAUGCUCAUCCUCAGUGACUCCUCUAGAAUUCUUGUGAUUUUUUAACUGGUGGGGGACAGAGAGAUCAUAGGAGCCCAUUUUUCAGAUAGAGAAAACUGAGCCUCAAGACCCGGGGGAGGAUCAAAAGGAACAAGUGGUAGUCUGGAAAAAAGUGGAACAAUGCUGUUUAACUUGCUGGCCGAAACUGGCUCAUCACAAAGGAGACAGACGAGGGAGCAGUGUGGCCACUUCUGACAUCAGUCUCAGGGAACACAGUUUCUCAACAUUCGUGGUAAAAAGUGAAGAGCAUCUCCACUCUAACGAUAAAAAUCAAAAGGCCUUUCAUGUUUUUGCACAUUCAGGUUAACAUAAUGAGAAAUGACGCUGGGAAUGACUGAUGAGCAGCUGUAAGCCCAUAUGUCUGGGGUGUUGCCUUUUUCUCUGAAUAGCAUACGUGUUUCUGCCUACCAAGAUCUCAGUGUGGCUGAGUGACUGAGCCUUCAGGCUUGGUAUUUCCCUGCCUCCUCUGUGGAUUUCCAAUUCUUUGACGUCAAGAAUUUUCUCUUUUGCACAGCUUUGCCUCUUCCAGGAGGUGAAUGGUACGGGGAUGACUCACAAAAGUCUUCAGAUAAGAGGCGGACAAAAGAGACCCUUGUUCAGUGGCAGAAGUACCUGCAAAGCCUUAGCUUUGCUUGAGAUAUGACCUAUAACUGCUCUGAUUUUUGGACCCCAGAAAACCCUUGAAAGCUCAGCUUCCUUAUUGCUGUGUGUUCACCUUAUAACAGCACCGCAGAGCCUAGGAAAUAAAGGCACAGACUCUCUUCAGAAAA